UCAAAUAUAUGACAAUUAUCUUCAGAUGUUGGGACAUAAGCUAAUUGAAAUAUACAUUCAAAAUGUCUUCAAUGAUGUAUAAACUUUAUCAAUUUAGACCAGUGCCCAAUAUAAUAAUAUAAAAAUAUAUAUCAAACAUUAGAUAUGCGUGAGUUAUGCCAUUACAUGACCAAUUUUGCUGUUUGUGAGAUUUUUAUAGAAGAAAUCUCUGAGUUAGGUAUUUGAAUACAUUCAACAAAGCAAAGGUAUUAUGAAUUGCCAUUUUCUAGAGUAAUAGUUUCCAAGUUCCUCAGUUUGAAGCUAUAACUAAUCACAUAGAAUGUACUUCUUAACCAAAAUGACUAAGGAAGAAAUCCAUAAGUAUAAUUACAGAGGUUCCUUUCCCUUCCUCCCUUGGAUUUUUUCAUCCUAAGGCAAUUAGGUGGACAGAGUAAAGACGGCUUUCAUAUGGAGGGGAAGGCUGGCGCAGGGAGUCAGAACCUGGUCCAUAGAAAGAAGCUGUCCUGCUGGGGGCAACAUGCAGCACUGAAAUAUUCAAGAAAGAGGAAAAGUUCUUUGUCCUGUAAUUACAACUCUUCUGAAAUUUUCAAAAUGUAAUGUACAUGCAGAAAAGUACAUAACACAUUUGUGGAAGAGCUCACUUCUCAAACUGAACAUAAAUAACUGUGAAGGAACACCUAGCUCAAGAAAGAGAAUAUCAUCAGUAUCUCAGACACUGCUUACUCAUUCUCUUCCAAGUACUACGUCUCCCUCCCCAAAGACAAGCCCUAUUCUAAUUUCAAUCACCAUUAACCAGUUUUUCUUGUUUGGACUUUUAUAAGUAGAAUUAUGUAGUCUGAUUUAUCUUGACCAAGUUUCUGAUUGUGAGCUUAACUCAUGUUGCAUUAUAGCAGUGUUUUAUUGAUUUUUAAAUGACUAGAAAGGAUCCUAUACAUGAAAACACUGCAAUUUAUGUAUUCCAUACUGACUGACAAAUGUUUGGUAGUUUCUGGUUUUGUGGCUAUGACAAAGUGGUGCUCUGUUGGGAAUCUUGUAUGCCUUUUAGUACAUACCUGUGCACAUUUUAAAUAGUUACCAACCUAUGAUUAUAUAUUUAUGGGUACUGCAUUUAGUCUACAAGUAUGUAGCUAAGAGGACUGGGGGACACACCCAGUAUGUAAACCUAAAAGUAUUGGGAAAAUAAAAGAACAGUAUAUCUACCUUUAGUAGAUAAU
rnacentral:lncRNA from 1 species